rnacentral:rRNA from 1 species
UACGGAGGGUGCAACCGUUGACCGGCAUCAUCGGGCGUAAAUCGCGUGGAGGCGGAUUGGCAAGUCGGUUGUGAAAGCCCGGGGCCCAACCCCGGAACUGCAUCUGAAACUGCCUGGCUAGAGUCCCGGAGAGGAAGGCAGAAUUCCCGGUGUAGGGGUGAAAUCCGUAGAUAUCGGGAGGAAUACCAGCGGCGAAGGCGCCCUUCCGGACGGUGACUGACUCUGCGUCGUGAAUGAGUGUGGAUCAACCCGG